CCCUAGCCCCGAUAGUAGCGUAAAUCCUUUUCUGAAUUAUCCCGUAGCGUUAGCGGAGGGAAAUUUAUAAAAGAUUGCAGCGGAUAGCGGGAAUAGCU
rnacentral:sRNA from 1 species